GCUGGGUGUGGUGGUGUACACCUGUAAUCCCAGCAGCUGGGGAGGCUGAGGCACUAAGCCACUCUGUGAGAGCCUGUC
rnacentral:sRNA from 1 species